rnacentral:rRNA from 1 species
UACGUAGGGUGCAAGCGUUGUCCGGAAUUAUUGGGCGUAAAGAGCUCGUAGGCGAUCUGUCACGUCGGAUGUGAAAACUCGGGGCUCAACCCCGAGCCUGCAUACGAUACGGGCAGACUUGAGUUCGGCAGGGGAGACUGGAAUUCCUGGUGUAGCGGUGAAAUGCGCAGAUAUCAGGAGGAACACCGGUGGCGAAGGCGGGUCUCUGGGCCGAUACUGACGCUGAGGAGCGAAAGCGUGGGGAGCGAACAGG